CAAAAGGUUCUCUUCAGAACCAAAUUUUUUUUUUUUAAAUUUUCU
rfam:Stegodyphus mimosarum contig19445, whole genome shotgun sequence.